GUUCCUCGCGGCCUUGCAGGUGCUCAGGCCGGGAGCAGGCCUGUGCUGUCAUCGAGGGGCGCCCCUAGGUGCGGUGGGACUAACUCCACCUCCGCCGGGGUCGAGGGUCAAGGGUGGGGGCUAGGGCCAACCCACUGAGAAGCAGCACAAGGACGCUGCAGUGAAGGGGAAAAGGGAGUCGGCCGCGCGGGAUCCCAAGCUAACGCCAGGUAAGCCACGCACCGCCCCCGCCUCACCCCACCACCUCCCGACGACGACGCUUAGGGUCAGGCCUGCGGAAAGCGGGACCAACAGAACCUAAUGUCCCAACCCGGGGACACCCAAACAGACGGGAUGUGAGUGCAAAGGAGCGGUUGUGAGUGGAGAAACCGUUUCUGUCCUCGCUUGCCCGAGUUCGCGGUGUGGGACGCUGGCGCCGGCCCCAUUAGACAGUCACGCGCGCCGGGCUAGCGCAGGGAGGCCGCGACGCGUGCGUGCACUCCGCCAGGGUGUCCCUGGCUCACGGGGGUUGCAGCUGGCAUUUGAGGUCAAGGCAACGAACUCAUGGCUGUGACCAGCCCUGCCCCGUGUCCUGGGCCUAUGCGGGAGCCUCUGUGCCAAGCAGUCUUUCCCAUCGACCUGACAGUGGGCUGUGCCCCGGUCGCCACCAGGGCACAUCCAGUGGGAGUGGGGUGACCCAGGCUCUCACCACCUGUGCGCCCAGGUGGCCGUCAGGGACCUUGUGGAACGUAACGCUUAUGCCGUGCCGGUUAGUGGCCGUUUGGCUUUAGACCGAUACUUCACAUCUGAACCCGUUUGCUCUCCUGCAAAAUGGAAAUAAUGCCUACUUCACUGGGUCACUGCCGCGUAAAUGAAGAUGAUGCACGAAGAGCCCAUCCAGCGCCGUGCCUGGCACAUAGCAAAGGCGCCAUACGCCAGCGUGGCGGAAGUGAUUUGUCGCUGGGCAGCCCUUGACCACAUCCUCCCACCUCCCUCUUCCAGGCUCUCCGUGUCUUCUAAUUCUGUUUGAUUAAAAUCACCUUGCCAAGAAGGGCCGUUCAAGUUUCCAGGUGGAACUGUUACUUAACUUUUUC
rnacentral:lncRNA from 1 species